UACGGAGGGAGCAAGCGUUACUCGGAAUUAUUGGGCGUAAAGGGCGCGUAGGCGAUCUGACAAGUCUGGUGUGAAAGCCCACAUGUUAACUGUGGAAGUGCAUUAGAAACUGUUGGAUUUGAGUUCAGGAGAGGAAGGCAGAAUUCCCGGUGUAGCGGUGAAAUGCGUAGAGAUCGGGAGGAAUACCAGUGGCGAAGGCGGCCUUCUGGACUGACACUGACGCUGAGGCGCGAAGCCAGGGGAGCAAACGGG
rnacentral:rRNA from 1 species